CAGCUAUAAUGUAUAUGAAUUUACUGAUAAAUGGAUAUCUGUGGUAAAUCUAGAGCUAAUACAUGCAUAAAAACCUUUUUGUUUUAACAAAUUGGUUAAAUUAUCGUUUCAAAACUAACGGGUUCGCCCUGUUUUGUUAACUCAUGAUAAUUAAUGACCGUUCUUUAAUGAAUGGAUAUUCAUAUUUGGUAUCUGCCCUAUCAACUAUAUGACAGUCUAUUGUACGGUCAUGGUUGUGCCGGGUAACGGAGAAUUAGGGUUCGUCUCCGGAGAGAAUGCCUUAGAAACGGCUUUCACUUCCAAGGAAGGCAGCAGGCGCGAAAAUUACCCAUUCUCAGAACGAGGAGGUAGUGACGUGAAAUGACAAGCUUUAAUUCUUACGAAUUGAAGCAUUGGAAUGGUUGAAUUUUAAAAUCAUUCAAGAUUAUCAAUGAGAGGGCAAGUCUGGUGCCAGCAGCCGCGGUAAUUCCAGCUCUCAUACUACAUUGAACUGCUGUUGCGGUUAAAAAGUUCGUAGUUGCAAAUGUACAUAUAAAUGUGGUUUAUCAUUUUAUUAUGGUAUAACUGCAUUUUGUGUUAUUUAUAUUUUCUUUACGGAAAAUAUAAUGAUACCCUGAGUAAAGCAAAGUGCUCAGAACAAGCUAUUGCUUGUAUGUUUUUGCUGGGAAUAUCAAACGAAUACAUUAGUUGACGUUUGUUGGUUUAACAGCUAUGUAAUGAUUAAUAGGGAUAAACGGGGGCAAACGUAUCGCAGGGGGAGAGGUGAAAUUCGUUGAUCCUUGCGAGACGGCCUAUAGCGAAAGCAUUUGCCAAGAAUGUUUUCUUUAAUCAAGAACGAAAGUCAGAGGUUCGA
rnacentral:rRNA from 1 species